rnacentral:rRNA from 1 species
AUAUAGGUCAAGCUACAAAGGGCGCAUGGUGAAUGCCUUGGCAUCAGGAGCCGAUGAAGGACGUGAUAAGCUGCGAUAAGCUUCGGGUAGGCGCACAUAGCCUGAGAUCCGAAGAUCUCCGAAUGAGGAAACUCACAUGGGAAACCCCAUGUAUCAUUAAGUGAAUACAUAGCUUAAUGAAGGUAACCCAGGGAACUGAAACAUCUAAGUACCUGGAGGAAGAGAAAGAAAAAUCGAUUUUCUUAGUAGCGGCGAGCGAAAGGGAAAGAGCCCAAACCGGAAACUUGUUUCCGGGGUUGUGGACAUAACAUAAAAGUGGAGGCUAUUGUAACUGAAGAGAACUGGAAAGUUCCACCGUAGAAGGUAAUAGUCCUGUAAGUGAAACGAGAAGACCACGAGUUAUGAUCCAGAGUACCACGAGACACGUGAAACCUUGUGGGAAGCAGGGAGGACCACCUCCCAAGGCUAAAUACUACCUGAUGACCGAUAGUGAAGCAGUACCGUGAGGGAAAGGUGAAAAGAACCCCGGGAGGGGAGUGAAAUAGAACCUGAAACCGUGUGCCUACAACCGCUCAGAGCCCCUUAUGAGGGUGAUGAGGUGCUUUUUGUAGAACGAGCCAACGAGUUACGGUAUGUAGCAAGGUUAAGUACUUAAGGUACGGAGCCGAAGGGAAACCGAGUCUGAAUAGGGCGACUAGUUGCAUGCCGUAGACCCGAAACCGGGUGACCUAUCCAUGGCCAGGUUGAAGCGAGGGUAAAACCUCGUGGAGGACCGAACCACGUUGCUGUUGAAAAAGCAUGGGAUGAGCUGUGGAUAGCGGAGAAAUUCCAAUCGAACCCGGAGAUAGCUGGUUCUCUCCGAAAUAGCUUUAGGGCUAGCGUCGAGUAUGAGUAGUGGAGGUAGAGCACUGAAUGGGCUAGGGGGCAUAGCGCUUACCGAACCUUAUCAAACUCCGAAUGCCACAUACUUUGAGCUCGGCAGUCAGACUACGAAUGAUAAGAUCCGUGGUCAAAAGGGAAACAGCCCAGAUCGUCAGCUAAGGUCCCAAAGUGUAAGUUAAGUGGGAAAGGAUGUGAGAUUUCUAAGACAACUAGGAUGUUGGCUUAGAAGCAGCCAUUCAUUAAAAGAGUGCGUAAUAGCUCACUAGUCGAGAGAUCUUGCGCCGAAAAUGUAACGGGGCUAAACUUACCACCGAAGCUACGGGCUUGAACUUAGUUCAAGCGGUAGGAGAGCGUCGUAACCGGGCUGAAGUCGUACCGUAAGGAGCGGUGGACUGGUUACGAGUGAGAAUGUUGGCAUCAGUAGCGAGAUGUGGGUGAGAAUCCCACAGGCCGAAAACCUAAGGUUUCCUCAGGAAGGUUCGUCCGCUGAGGGUUAGUCGGGACCUAAGCCGAGGCCGAAAGGCGUAGGUGAUGGACAACUGGUUGAUAUUCCAGUACCACUAUAAUCGUUAUUAUCGAUGGCGUGACGCAGGAGGAUAGUGUGUGCUAGCUAUUGGAUGCUAGUCUAAGCGUUUAGGCAGUGAGAGUAGGCAAAUCCGCUCUCAUAAUGCUGAGGCGUGAUGGGGAAGGUUCUACGGAACCGAAGUACAUGAUUCCACGCUGCCAAGAAAAGCGUCUAGAGAGAGAAGUAGUGCCCGUACCGCAAACCGACACAGGUAGGUGAGGAGAGAAUCCUAAGGCCGGCGGAAGAAUUACAGUUAAGGAACUCGGCAAAUUGACCCCGUAAGUUCGCGAGAAGGGGUGCCUACGAGAGUAGGCCGCAGAGAAUAGGCCCAAGCAACUGUUUAGCAAAAACACAGGUCUCUGCUAAAGCGUAAGCUGAUGUAUAGGGGCUGACGCCUGCCCGGUGCUGGAAGGUUAAGGGGAACACUUAGCGCAAGCGAAGGUGUGAACUUAAGCCCCAGUAAACGGCGGCCGUAACUAUAACGGUCCUAAGGUAGCGAAAUUCCUUGUCAGGUAAGUUCUGACCCGCACGAAUGGCGUAAUGACUUGGGCACUGUCUCAACUGUAAAUCCGGCGAAGUUGUAGUGCGAGUGAAGAUGCUCGCUACCCGCGAUUGGACGGAAAGACCCCGUAGAGCUUUACUGUAGCUUAGCAUUGAGUUUUGGUAUUGUCUGUACAGGAUAGGUGGGAGACUAGGAAACCAGGGCGUCAGCCUUGGUGGAGUCAACCUUGGGAUACCACCCUGACAGUACUGAAAUUCUAACUGGCGGCCAUGAAUCUGGUCACAGGACAUUGUUAGGUGGGCAGUUUGACUGGGGCGGUCGCCUCCUAAAAAGUAACGGAGGCGCCCAAAGGUUCCCUCAGAACGGUCGGAAAUCGUUCGAAGAGUGCAAAGGCAGAAGGGAGCCUGACUGCGACACCCACAAGUGGAGCAGGGACGAAAGUCGGGCUUAGUGAUCCGGUGGUACCUCGUGGGAGGGCCAUCGCUCAACGGAUAAAAGCUACCUCGGGGAUAACAGGCUGAUCUCCCCCAAGAGUCCACAUCGACGGGGAGGUUUGGCACCUCGAUGUCGGCUCGUCGCAUCCUGGGGCUGAAGUAGGUCCCAAGGGUUGGGCUGUUCGCCCAUUAAAGCGGCACGCGAGCUGGGUUCAGAACGUCGUGAGACAGUUCGGUCCCUAUCCGUCGCGGGCGUAGGAAAUUUGAGAGGAGCUGUCCUUAGUACGAGAGGACCGGGAUGGACUGACCUCUGGUGUACCAGUUGUUCCGCCAGGAGCACAGCUGGGUAGCUAAGUCGGGAAUGGAUAAACGCUGAAAGCAUCUAAGCGUGAAGCCAACCUCAAGAUGAGAUUUCCCAUAGCGUAAGCUAGUAAGAUCCCUUGAAGAACACAAGGUUGAUAGGUCGGGGGUGUAAGCAUGGUAACAUGUUCAGCUGACCGAUACUAAUAGAUCGAGGGCUUGACCAAAU